CGUCAAGCCCACGCAAGUGCAAGCUCCCUAAAAGUCAGAGUCAUGCAGGAGGCACGGGUUCAUCGAUCAUGCCUGACACGAGCCCCGCCAGCCACUUGGGGGAAAUGCAACCUUCAGAUGUGAAGCUGGGACUGCAGCUUCAGAAGAAAUCUGGUGGUUCUCAAACUUGAGCAUGCACUUGAAGAGCUCAGUACAACACAAGUUUCUUUGGUCUUCACCUAACCAGUCACGGGGUCCAGACUUCAGUAGCUGGGAGGCUGGAGGUGAGGAGACAGAGGAAUACCAAAUAUGGACAUGGGAGAGC